rnacentral:rRNA from 1 species
UAGGGAAUCUUGGGCAAUGGGCGAAAGCCUGACCCAGCGAUGCCGCGUGUGUGAAGAAGGCCUUCGGGUUGUAAAGCACUUUCAGUCGUGAAGAAAUGCUCGGGGCCAAUACCCCCGAGUUUUGACGUUAACGACAGAAGAAGCACCGGCUAACUCCGUGCCAGCAGCCGCGGUAAUACGGAGGGUGCGAACGUUAAUCGGAAUUACUGGGCGUAAAGCGCGCGUAGGCGGUUUGGUAAGUGGGAUGUGAAAGCCCCGGGCUCAACCCGGGAACUGCAUUCCAAACUGCCAGACUAGAGUUUGGUAGAGGGAGGUGGAAUUUCCUGUGUAGCGGUGAAAUGCGUAGAUAUAGGAAGGAACACCAGUGGCGAAGGCGGCCUCCUGGACCAAAACUGACGCUGAGGUGCGAAAGCGUGGGGAGCAAACAGGAUUAGAUACCCCCGUAGUCC